AUGUUAGAAGACGAAGGGGAUUAUGAGGAGGAAGAGGAAGAUGAGGUGCUUGCUCUUGAAGAGGAGGAGGAAGAAGAAGAAGAAUAUGGGGAUGAAGAGGAAGAAGAGGUAGAAGAAAGUGAUGAGGAGAUCGUAGAGGAGGAAGAAGAGGAGGAGGAAUUAGCAAAGGAAGCAGUGGUGGAGGAAAAGAGAAAAGAGGAGGCUGAAAAAAAGGAGAAUGAGGAAGCUGAUGCUCAUAAUGAGGAAGAAAAAGAAGAUGAAGAGGAGGAAGCAGCAGCAGAAGUUGUGCAGAAGGAGGAGGACAAAGAAAAGGAGGAAGAGGAGGCUGAUGCAGAUGAAGAAAAUGAAGAUGAAAAGAAGGGAGUAGCAGCAGAAGCUGUGCAGAAGGAGGAGGAAACAGAACAAGAAGAAGAGGAAGCUGAUGCUGAGCAGGAAGAAGAACAUGAAGAGGAAGCUGCUGCUCCUGCUGUCAAGAAGAAAGAUACUUCGAUCUCUGCUGAUUCUGAUGAGGAGAAAGAAGAAACUUCAGAACAAGUCACUUCUAAAGAAACCGAGAAAAGAAAAAAAGAUACUCCUGCUGAUGAUAAAGAUGAUGACCAAAAAGAUGACCAAAGCGAGGAAAAAGAUGUUGACGAUGAGGCCCAAGAGGCUGAUAUCGCCAUAGCUGUUGGUAUUAUAGCUGAUGCUGGUGCUACAGUCGCUGAUGUUGAAGUGCAAGAAACUGGUGAGGAAUCUAUACUUCUUAAAGCUGAUGGCGAUUCAAAGCUAUUAACAACCAUAGAGGAGAGUGCUGCUAAAGCUGAUAAUGCAGUGGCUGAUUUAGCUGACUCACAAGAUGGCUUAAGCGCUACUGAUGACCAUGAUGAUAAGAUGAUAAAAGAGCUAGCUGACGAUCAUGGUGAGGUUACAGAAGACGGUCUUGAAGAUGAGACUGGUAAUGGACUGAUAGACGCUGACUCUGAGAAAGAUAUAACACGUGAAGUUGAGGGUGUUUUUGAGGAGCCUGAGCUAGCCGAUGAUGUUGCAGAUAAGGAGGAGCAGGAGCAAGAGGGAAAAGAGGAGGGAGAGGAACAGAUAAGGGUUGAGGAUGAUGAUGAUGAUGAUGCUGCUGCUGCUGAUGAUGAUGAUAUUAUAGUAACAGCACCUGUAGUUAGUUCUGACGCAGGUGGAGAUGAGACAACAGUGGUGGCUGAUGAAGAUGGUGACUCUUCACCUGAAAAAGACAUAACAACCCUGAAAGAAGAGGAGAAAGAUGAAAAGGAUGAAAGCGCAGAGGAGGCGGAAAUCGCUGAAAAAGCACCAGAACCAGAACCGGUCCCUAAAGCGGCAGCCAAGGAAGCGAAAGAAAAAGAAGCAGAGGAGCCUGUGGCAGAGGCUGAAAAAGAAGGUCAGUACAUAAUUAAAGUGCUGCUGUUGUCUCCAAAUAGAGAAACUUUUUUAUUUUAUUUUAUUUUAUUUAAAAAGAAGGUCAGAGCAAAAUUACAGUUUAAGUGCUACUACUGUCUCUAAAUACGCAUCUUAUUAAACAUUAAAUUUUUUAUCCUAUUUAAUUUUUUAUUUAAAAAAAUGCAAAUGCAAAUUUACACAAAUGUAAUAUAUGAAGUUUCAAUGGCAAAUCAAAGUUAUAGUCAUAUCUUAUAUAUCCAUAGUCAUAUCCUAUAAUAUCCUACUUUACGCCUUUCAAUGCCCCUGCUGAUCUUAAUAAUCAGAAAAGAGUAAAUGCAUUUUGUUAGCUAAUAAACUUUAGCACCAAAGGUCAGUGAGAAAACAGAGGAAGAAAGAAUGCAUGCUGUUUUAAUAACACAUAUCAUGUUCUCAGCUGCAGCGUUGAGUGAUAUCAAAAAUGGCAUUAGCAUUUAAGGUUAAAGACAUUUUGAAUGACACCACCCUGUAAUUCCCAGCGAGCAUGUAAAUAACAUUAUUCUAAGAGACUUUCUUGGAAUUCUUGCAGCCGCUUAAAACAUUUCCCUUCUUCUCAGCCAUUAUCUUCAGAUUUGUUGUUACUGUUAAUCUCCGUUUGUUGGCGAGGUUGUCAACCUGUUUUUAUUUUUAGCUGGCAUCCUUCUUGUUAAAAUAAUCCAAUCUCUUUACUGAUGGGGUGGUAUUUAAUCCAAAAUUUGUCACAUUAAUUCUGGCAAAAUUAUGCAAUCCAAAUUUAUAAUGAAGGUGUCAUAUUUGUAUCCUGUGAUUUACUACCACCACUCUAAAAAUUAAUUUCAGUAAUAACAUUUUGAUUUAUGGAUGUAAAAUCUGGAAUUGGCCUCUGAUGUCAUAAGCACAUUAUGGGUUUUAAAGAUAAUGACACUAAUAUAUUCAUCAGUAGAAGACAUUUAUCCUCGUGUUUAGCUGCCAAUGUGAUCUUUAUCACCCUGUGUUGAUUUAAACAAGGCUAAUCUAAUACAUCUCUCAUUAGUUUGUCUGUUUUUGAACAGUUUCACAUUAUUUUAUGUACAUCAUAAUAAUUUUCAGAUUUAGUAUAUUUCUUUGUGACUGAUUCGAUUUUGCUUUUUUUUCCGAAUAAGUCUGAGGGUGCCUCCAAAAAAAAAGAUUUAGAUUACCCAAAAGAUUGUUCUGUUAUUUUAACAAAAUGGUUAAAAUAGUCUAAUUAAUAAUGCAAUAAAAUAUAAAAAAUCAAAUAAUUGUGAGCCAACGGCAUUAUGGGACAUUUCAUGCCAAAAUCCACUUUAGAAAAUGUAUUUAUUCCUAAAUUCAAUUUUGAUUUGUUUAUUUCCACAUUUAGUAAAAUGACAAAUAUAUAUUUCCAAUUAGAUGUCUUUCAUGGUGCAUUUGACACAGUGUUUUAAUUUUGCCAGCAAACACUGUAUAUUUUUACAAUCAUUUUCAGCUGACUAAAUUUCUGGCAACAAAUUUGGAGAUAAUCAUACUAAUUUUAUAUUGUUUAUUGUGUUUUCCAUCUCCAGAAGCUGAGACUAAGAGAAGGGAACCCCUGCUUAAAGAGAGGAAAGGUCCAAUAGCCCUCUUAACAUCAGAGUUAUUGUUUUUUUUAUUGAAUAUUGUACUAAAAUUAACUUCAUAACUAAUAUUUGCUCAUCAGAAAAAGAGUCUCCAGUAAGAACAAGACUAGAAAAAGCAAAGAAAGGUGCAAAAGAAAAAGCACAAUGUGUGCCUGCUUUAUCAUCAAGCCCUGAAUGACAUUUUUCAAAUGACUUUAUAAUCUUUGAAAUUAAUAUUGACUCAAAUUUGCUUUCUGCUUCACAGCUCCAAAAGCAAAGACAGUGGCUGUCAACAUAUCCCAAAAGAGAAGUAAAUCCACAUGAUCUGACCAUACUUUACUUCUUUAAAGGGAUAGUUCAUCAAUAAAUGAAAGUCCUGUCAUCAUGUCUUCACACAUUUUGCUAAAUUUUCACAUGCUGUUUUCCAUAAAACACACAUUAAUGGCAAACAGGAACUUUCAAACUCAACCUAUAUGGUAAAAUAAUAAUAAUAAUAAUAAUAAUAAUAUUAAAUAAAAAACAUACAAGUUAUCCAUGUAAGUUGUGAGCAAUAUUACAGAUCUUCUGCAACUUUAAACAUGCACAUAUUCAAAUCACACAAGUUUGAACUACCAGUGAGGAAGAUUAAGAGUGUCAAACAACUUAUGAUUUCAGGAUACUUUAUGUCAGGCCCUGGUCAAAAUUUAUUUUCAUUACAUGAAAAAAAGAGUAGCAUGAACAUACUGCUUAACAUCUUCUUUUGUGUUCUACAGAAUAAAGAAAUCAUACAGGUUUUGAUCAAUGAGUAAAUGAUGACAGAUUUUUCAUUUUUGGCUGAACUUCUAAGUUGAUGUCAAAUUUAAAAAUUCCAUUUGAUUUAACUAUAUGACAGCAGUGCUCUCCCUUUCCCUUUUCCUAAUAACAGGAUCUCGAGCCUCAGAGGAUGUGGAAGUGUCAGCUGCUCCAGCUCUGAUACAGGAUCGUGAGUGCAACUCAUAUCCUUGUGACUUUUUAAUAUGUGUUACAUUCACAUUAUGCAAAAAGACAGCAUCAGUAACACACAAUCUACAGUCUGGUGUAACUCUGAAUCUUUCUUUUCACAAUCCGGUGAAACAGUUCCUAUGUGCCGACCAACACCUGUGUACUGCCCAGCGCCCCCUGGCUGGUAUGGUGAGUAAUGCAGCCACUCAUAAUUACUGUUGUGAGGUGUACUUUACACACAACACCUUUAAAUUUAAACAAACCAAAAAUAUUCUUUAAUGCCCUGAAAUCUACUUUAUCUUAUAUUUUACAGUGCAUCAUAUAGUUACAAGUAGCCCAUUACCACCAUCCGAUAUUCCAGGUAUUCAAAACUAUUUUAAUUUAAAUCCAUUCAUAAAAUAAUUAACAUAUUAUUGCUAACUAAAUAGUGUGUCUGUCAAUGAAAAAAAGAAAUAAUAAAAAAUAAAAAACGUGAAUUUCAGUGAAAGUGCAGUAUGUUUACUAGAAAUAUAUUUUUAACAAUAGUUACUGUGUUUUUCAGAAUCAGAAGUUCAAAUUUCAACAACUAAUCAAGCUCCUACUCUACUGAAAGGUGUUUAUCCUGCAAUAUAUUAUUAAUUUAAUUCUAUAUGACAAUAAUUUUGUUUUUGUAUUUUUCUUUUUCUUCUUCUUCUUCUUCUUUUUUUUAUUUUUUAUAUAUAUUUUUUUUUAUUUGAAUGAAUGUUUCCUUUGCUUAAGAACCAGAAGCUGCUUUGGCAAAACCAAAACAAGCCACUAAAAAGAAAGGUAUAUUAUUGUAGUAAUUUGUUUUGUGCCAAUAGUAAGAAUGUAUUAUAGUUUAUAGUUAUGUUAACAGACCCGAAGCAAGUAAUAACCUUUGACCUCCAAUUUCAGAACCACCAGUGCCUAAAGAAAAAGCCAAAGUAGCUCCUACAAAGAAGGGUGAGAUCCAAUUUAAAUUAUAUAAAAUGAAAGGCAAUAUCUGAGUUAAAAUAAUUUUGGAGAAGAUGCUGAUUUGUCAUUAUUAUAACAACUUUGUUAUACAUUUUGUAUUUGAAUUUGUGCAUUCCUAUUUGAUUUUAUACAUUUGUACUGUAUGUCUUCAAGACCCCACAGUUACUAAAGCCAAAGUAAAACCUUCAGUGGCAAAGAAAGGUAAGAAUAAUAGAAAAAUUAUGGCUAAAUUUAGAUUUUAGUUUCAUACUGAAUAAAUCCUUUUCUAUUAUUUAGAGCCAACAGCUGUGAAAGAGAAGUCUAAAAGGACAGGUAAUUAUGGUUCAGGAACUGACUUGGAAGUAGUUUUAUAUUAAUGAGCAGUAGCUUAUAAUUUCAUAUUUUACAGAGCGAAUGAUCUCUAAAGAAAAGGCUAAACCUACCUCUACUAAGAAAGGUACAUAUUGUUGUUGUAUAUUAUUUGUAUUAUUCCCUUCAAUACUCACAGAAAGAGGUUCAACUGUAUCCUAUUCUGGGUGUUUUGAAAUUGAUAACAUUUUUCACACUGGAUGAUAUUUGUUUGCUUCUAGUGCCUGCUAG
rnacentral:lncRNA from 1 species